GCUUGGCUUUCAUGCCACCAGCAUGCCAUGAAAUGUUGCUCUCUGUUUGAAUUUCGAGCUGGCUCUCUCAGGGGUCUGAGCCGGCUCGACUUGAUCUGAGUCGACUCCUCUGCUGGCAAAAGUUUUUUCUUGGUUCUUUACUCCACCUUUCAUCUCAGAUAUCUAGAGCUCCAACCAAGCUCCUCAAAGUCCUCACCAGCCC
rnacentral:lncRNA from 1 species